UGGCGACUAACAGUCUGAUUUAGCUAGAUAACAGGGCACGCGAGGCUGUUGCUGCAGCUGCAGCUGCCAGUGCUACCUCCAAUGCUAAUACACCCACUCAUUAUGCUGAUGCUAUUGGUCCCUGCUAUGGAAUUCCCAAUUAUUGUGAUGUUUGGCAAUUGAACCUGUUGACAGAGGCUUCGGAUUCGGAUUUGGGUCUAGGAUAUUACAAUCUACCAAUCAAG